rnacentral:rRNA from 1 species
UACGUAGGGUGCGAGCGUUAAUCGGAAUUACUGGGCGUAAAGCGUGCGCAGGCGGUUUUGUAGGCCAGAUGUGAAAUCCCCGGGCUUAACCUGGGAGUGGCAUUUGGGACUGCAAGGCUGGAGUGUGGCAGAGGAGACUGGAAUUCCUGGUGUAGCAGUGAAAUGCGUAGAUAUCAGGAGGAAUACCGAUGGCGAAGGCAGGUCUCUGGGCUGACACUGACGCUCAUGCACGAAAGCGUGGGGAGCAAACAGG